rnacentral:rRNA from 1 species
GACGAACGCUGGCGGCGUGCCUAAUACAUGCAAGUCGAGCGAAAAGACGAGGCGCUUGCUCCUCUGUCGUUAGCGGAGGACGGGAGAGUAACACGAGGAUAAUGUACCUAUCAGACUGGGAUAACCACGGGAAACGGGAGCUAACACCGGAUAAUAUAUUGAACCGCAGGGUUCAAUAGAGAGAGACGGCUUUGCUGUAACUACUCGCUGGUUAUGAGCUGUAUUAGGUAGUUGGUAAGGUAAAGGGUUAUCACGGCGACGAUGCGUAUCCGACCUGAGAGGGUGAUCGGCCACACUGGAGCUGAGACACGGUCCAUGCUCCUACGGGAGGCACCAGUAGGGAAUCGGCCGCAAUGGUCGAAAGCCUUGCGGAGCGACGCCGCGUGAGUGGUGAAGGUCUUCCGAUCGUAAAACUCUGUUAUUAGUGAAGAACAAAUGUGGAAGGAGCUAUGCACUUCUUGACGGUACCUGGUCAGAAAGCCACGGCUAACUACGUG